rnacentral:rRNA from 1 species
GACGAACGCUGGCGGCGUGCUUAACACAUGCAAGUCGAACGGAAAGGCCCUGCUUUUGUGGGGUGCUCGAGUGGCGAACGGGUGCGUAACACGUGAGUAACCUGCCCUUGACUUUGGGAUAACUUCAGGAAACUGGGGCUAAUACCGGAUCGGAGCUCCUGCUGCAUGGUGGGGGUUGGAAAGUUUCGGCGAUUGGGGCUGGACUCGCGGCUUAUCAGCUUGUUGGUUGGGUAGUGGCUUACCAAGGCUUUGACGGGUAGCCGGCUUGAGAGGGUGAACGGCGACCUUGGGACUACGAGACGGCCCAGAGUCCUACGGGGGGCAGCAGGGGGGAAUAUUGCACAAUGGGCGGAAGCGUGAUGCAGAAGCGCCGCGGGCGGGAUGACGGCCUUCGGGUUGUAAACCGCUUUCGCCUGUGACGAAGCGUGAGUGACGGUAAUGGGUAAAGAAGCACCGGCUAACUACGUG